UACGGAGGUCCCGAGCGUUGUUCGGAUUCACUGGGCGUAAAGGGUGCGUAGGUGGCAUGGUAAGUUUGAUGUGAAAGCUCAGGGCUUAACCCUGAAAUGGCAUUGAAUACUACUGUGCUGGAGGUUUGGAGGGGGGACUGGAAUUCUUGGUGUAGCAGUGAAAUGCGUAGAUAUCAAGAGGAACACCAGUGGCGAAGGCGAGUCCCUGGACAACACCUGACACUGAGGCACGAAAGCUAGGGGAGCAAACAGG
rnacentral:rRNA from 1 species